GACGAACGCUGGCGGCGUGCUUAACACAUGCAAGUCGAACGGUGAAAGCGGAGCUUGCUCCGCUGGAUCAGUGGCGAACGGGUGAGUAACACGUGGGCAACCUGCCCCUCACUUCGGGAUAACUCCGGGAAACCGGGGCUAAUACCGGAUAUGACCUCCUUGGGCACCCUUGGAGGUGGAAAGUCUUUCGGUGAGGGAUGGGCCCGCGGCCUAUCAGCUUGUUGGUGAGGUAGUGGCUCACCAAGGCGACGACGGGUAGCCGGCCUGAGAGGGCGACCGGCCACACUGGGGCUGAGACACGGCCCAGACUCCUACGGGAGGCAGCAGUGGGGAAUAUUGCGCAAUGGGCGAAAGCCUGACGCAGCAACGCCGCGUGCGGGAUGACGGCCUUCGGGUUGUAAACCGCUUUCAGCAGGGAAGAAGCCGCAAGGUGACGGUACCUGCAGAAGAAGCACCGGCUAACUACGUGCCAGCAGCCGCCGUAA
rnacentral:rRNA from 1 species